rnacentral:rRNA from 1 species
AACUCUUAACGGGGGAUCACUCGGCUCGUGGGUCGAUGAAGACCGCAGCAAACUGCGUGUUGGUAUGUGAAUCGCAAGAAUACCAGAUACAUCGACAAGUUGAACGCAUAUUGCAGCGGCGGCAGCCAUAUGAGCUUGUCGCCGCCAUUCCUCUACGAGGGUCG